GAGCGCACGCCGUUCUCGGGGUGUUCCGGCGUCGUAGUCGUGCACUUCUCCCCUAGUAGAACGUCGCGACCCGUUGCGUGUCGGUCUACGGCCCGAGCGGUAGCCUGUCCCGUCUCGCCUCGAGCGUGCGUGCGACAGACCCUCGGUCGCCCGGCCGGCUGCGCGACGGUACCCGCACGGUAUCGGGCCGCAGCGUUCCCUCUUUUUAAAGAGAGACGCGUGCGUCAGGCCCGUCGCAAGCUAGGUCAGUUCAAUACCCGGAGGUGUUUACGGACCCGGUGCCGUCCCCGGGCCUGUCCAGCUGUUGGCCGACGGUGUCCUCUGACUGUGUCCAUUAUCUUACCGGUCGGCGACGCUAUUGCUUUGGGUACUCUCAGGACCCGUCUUGAAACACGGACCAAGGAGUCUAACAUGUGCGCGAGUCAUUGGGAUCGAUGUAUCGAAACCUAAAGGCGGAAUGAAAGUGAAGGU
rnacentral:rRNA from 1 species